GCGCAGACCACUGAAGAGGCAGCAUGUAACUUGCCCAGCUAAAAAAGGCGACUUGGAGUUCUUUCCUACCCCACCACCUUACCCCCAAGCACCCCAGGAUGAGAGGUCCUGGAGGGCAGAAAGGGAGGGAUGGAGGAGCCCCCAACGCGUUUCUAACUGCUCCAGACCUCUUCACCACUGAGAGGGACCGGAUUAUAACAGAGGCUCAGAAAUUGGUUCCAGGCCCAGAUGGAAGACUCGCCACCAAUGCAGACCUCAUAAAUGUUGGGUUUCCUGUGAUGUGACCCAAUUGGGAUUUCAACACAGAGAAAGGUAGGGAGAGGCUCAAACUCUACCUCCAGACUACAAUGGAGAUGUGUCCGGGCAGCUGCGAGGUGGCCCACAAAUUUGCCCAAAGUUAGUCGGGUACUCCAAGGGCCUGAAGAAACACCAGGAACAUUUCUAGAGAGGCUGAUAGAAGCUUGUAAGACUUAUACACUCAUGGAUCCAGAAGCACCAGAGAAUCGGUCUCAGUCAGCCUGGCUUUUGUCAACCAGUCAGCACCAGAAACCCACCUUAAACAGCGGAGACUAGAAGAUUUUAAAGAUAAGAGGUUGGCUGAACUUAUCUCAGUUGCUGAGAAAGUAUUCAAUAAUAGGGAAACCCCAGAAGAAAGGCAGACAAAGGGGCUUAUGAAAGCUUUAGAAAGACAGAGCUGGGCUCACCACGAUCCUUCUAGCUGCACCAGGCAGCCCAGAGGUUGGGAGACAGACAAGGGCCCUGGGUGACUCACUGCGCAAAGGGACAGAAGCAGCGGCUGCGCAAUAGGCCUAGUCUGCAGAAAGACCGAUGUGCCUACUGUAGGAAGCUGGGUCACUGGAAGAAUAAAUGCCUUGGAUGACAGGGCUCAAGCGAAGGUACUGGAACUGGAAGAAAUGAGUGACUGAAGGAGACAGGGCUUGGAGCCCCUCUCCAGGAGCCUUGGGUAACCCUAAAGGUGGAGAAACCCACAGAUUUUCUGGUAGAUACCAGAGCACAACACUCCAUUCUAAAACAACCCCUAGGCAAAAUGUCACCAGAACAAUCCUGGGUUCAAGGGGCUACAGAGAUGAACCGGCACUCAUGCACUACUUGAAACUCAAUAGACACAGGAAAGAGCCGGGUGACCCACUCUAUUAUGGUCAUCCCUGAGUGCCCAUACCCACUACUGGGAAGAGACAAUGGAGACCUGCUCCAGAAUUGACCCAAACAGAAACUGGGGACCUGACAAAGGGGGAGGGGAUGCGCCCAUCGCAUCCCCUCCCCCUCAACAAUACAGCUGAAAGCUGGGGCAAUGCCAACAUGUGUCAAACAAUACCCAAUGCCCAGAGAGGCCAAGCAGGGGAUCACUCCCCAUAUUAGGUGCCUCAGAGGCCUGGGUAUUUUGGUCCCUUGCCAGUUAGCCUGGAACACACUCCUAUUGCCAGUAAAAAAAAAAGCCCAAUUCCAAUUACUACAGACCAGUGCAACACCUGCCACUGGCUCCAGCCAGGCAGCCUAUGUUUGCUUUCCAAUGGGCGGAUGCAGAGGAUGGAUUCAAAGGAGAGCUGACCUGUGUGGUGCACAACGCCUGUCUGCACUCUAUGCGCCACCAUACAGUUCGCGAGCUUCGGGCAAGGGGCUGGAGGUUGAAACACACAAAGACUCACACAGAGACAGAGAGACAGAGACACGGACCUCUAGUCACUGGUAAGUAGCUCCUUAUACAACAGCACCACAGAGGCUUAUAUACCCAACAGUCAGGUGGGUCAACAGGUGAAAACCUUGUCCUCUGAUCCUCAAGGCCAAGGCAACACGUGCUCAUGAAGCAGAGCUGGUAAACAACUUUGACACAGCCUUUAGUAACUCAAAUCAGAAGGAAAGAUCUCUAGCAGGGAAGACCUGGACACAGCUACUCCAAGGGUUCAAGAACUCUCCUAACAUCUUUGAUGAAGCACUCCACGAGGACUUGGUGAAUACCAACAAGCCCACCCCAACAUCAGUAUGUGGAUGACUUCCUGAAGGCAGCGGACACCUUGGAAGCCUGCAAAGCUGCCACUGAUUAAUCCCUCCUCUCUGGAAUCCUCCUUGGAAGCUUGUGACCUUCUUGGGGGGGGGGGGGCUGCUCUUUUGCCACCCCAACACUGGGAUCAAUAAAGUGCUCUUGUUAUUGUA